CUAGCCAUGGGAGUCGUACGCCCCUGGGUAAGGGGGCGUGGCGGACGGCUGAGUAACACGUGGCUAACCUACCCUGGGGAGGGGGAUAACCCCGGGAAACUGGGGAUAAUCCCCCAUAGGCGAGGAGUCCUGGAACGGUUCCUCGCUGAAAGGCCCAUAGGCUAUUUCCCGCUUAUGGGCGCCCCAGGAUGGGGCUGCGGCCCAUCAGGUAGUUGGGGGGGUAAAGGCCCCCCAAGCCUAUAACGGGUAGGGGCCGUGAGAGCGGGAGCCCCCAGUUGGGCACUGAGACAAGGGCCCAGGCCCUACGGGGCGCACCAGGCGCGAAACGUCCCCAAUGCGCGAAAGCGUGAGGGCGCUACCCCGAGUGUCCCCGUAAGGGGACUUUUCCCCGCUCUAAAAAGGCGGGGGAAUAAGCGGGGGGCAAGUCUGGUGUCAGCCGCCGCGGUAAUACCAGCCCCGCGAGUGGUCGGGACUCUUACUGGGCCUAAAGCGCCCGUAGCCGGCCCGGUAAGUCACCCCUUAAAGACCCCGGCUCAACCGGGGGAAUGGGGGUGAUACUGCCGGGCUAGGGGGCGGGAGAGGCCAGCGGUACUCCCGGAGUAGGGGCGAAAUCCUCAGAUCCCGGGAGGACCACCAGUGGCGAAAGCGGCUGGCUAGAACGCGCCCGACGGUGAGGGGCGAAAGCCGGGGCAGCAAAAGGGAUUAGAUACCCCUGUAGUCCCGGCUGUAAACGAUGCGGGCUAGGUGUUACAUGGGCUUAGAGCCCAUGUAGUGCCGCAGGGAAGCCGUUAAGCCCGCCGCCUGGGGAGUACGGUCGCAAGACUGAAACUUAAAGGAUUUGGCGGGGGAGCCC
rnacentral:rRNA from 1 species